UGCUCAAGUCCAAACCAUGAGUUUCUGUGGUCAGUUAAUGAACUCAAGAGAUCUGUGUGGUAGGGGAAGGGAAGUUCAUGAGGGGCUGUGUAUGAAAAUGCUUGAGACAAGAUCAGAAAACUAGGGCAACAUGAUAUUAUGAAGAGGGUAUUGAACUUGGAGCCAAGAAGACCUGGGUUCAAAUCCCACCUGAAAUACUAGCUGUGUGACCAUGGGCAAGCAGAGGUGAUCCAGUCCAAGGAAAUCUGGAUAACUCAUCUUCUGGAAAUUCUGC